AACGAACGCUGGCGGCAUGCCUAACACAUGCCAGUCGAACGAGACCUUCGGGUAUAGUGGCGCACGGGUGCGUAACGCCUGGGAACCUGCCCUUAGGUUCGGAAUAACUCCCCGAAAGGGGUGCUAAUACCGGAUAAUGUCUUCGGACCAAAGAUUUAUCGCCUUUGGAUGGGCCCGCGUUGGAUUAGCUGGUUGGUAGGGUAAAAGCCUACCAAGGCGACGAUCCAUAGCUGGUCUGAGAGGAUGAUCAGCCACACUGGGACUGGGACACGGCCCAGACUCCUACGGGAGGCAGCAGUGGGGAAUAUUGGACAAUGGGCGAAAGCCUGAUGCAGCAAUGCCGCGUGAGUGAUGAAGGCCUUAGGGUUGUAAAGCUCUUUUACCCGGGAUGAUAAUGACAGUACCGGGAGAAUAAGCUCCGGCUAACUCCGUG
rnacentral:rRNA from 1 species